GCUGUGAUAGAGAAACGGUAACAAGUCAGCCCCCAAACUCCCCAUUCCUUCACUGAAGGAUGUGAAGGCAUCUAAUGGUUCUUCAAGCAUUUACUUUCGUAAAUAUUGUAACUUCUCAGUACUCAUUGGUAGAUAAAGGGAUCGUGGUUAAUAACACUUAAUAGUUAUUGUUGUAAUUGAGACUAAACUUGGGUCUCCUGCCUCCCUUUUUAUUUCUGCACUGAUCAGGCAGUAGAACGAAUAGACACUAUGACCUUGAGUUGCGUUCUGUUUGGUCUGCCCGGAAGUCUCUCUGGCACUGUGGUUAAGGACUGGAGCUCUGCCAUUUGCUCGUUGGGCGACCUUGGUCACAUUAGUCUGUUGAAGCCUUGGCUUUCCUGUCUGGAAAACAUUACAUAUUUCACAAAGAGAUAAGGAUUAAAUUGGGCAGCGUAUGAAGUGCUGCCCAUGGUGCCUGGGUACUGUUUGCUGUCCUCUUGGAAGAGCACUUCAGCUGCGUGGUGUCCUAUCUGAUUGUCGCAAGGCCCCAUGGGAAGUAGGCGAUGGGCUCGAAAUGAGCAGGGACAAGAGCAGGACUGCAGGCCGGUGCAAGGUUGCCCAACUAGCAAAUGUUUUCUGUCACAGCCCAGUCCUGAGCUCUGUCAGAUCUGCCUCUGCAGCCUGCAUCUGUCCCAGGUUACUAUGACCAGUCAGACCCUUAGCCUUCUCAGAGCCCCAUCACCCUCAUUCAUAGUCUAGAGCAGCAGUCGCCAGCCUCUUGGACCUCAGGGACCACCGCUGGUCUAGAUAACCUGGCACAGGACUCGGCAUUUAGCUGGUACUUGUUAAGUGGUAGGAGUUAGUUGGGAAAGGGAUCCCUGGAGUUAAAAGUGGUGCAGGGGGUUGGUAAGGAAGGAAAACCUUGCCGGAAGUCUCGGGGACGUACCAGU